AAUCAAUUCAUAUUUCAUUUUUGCUUAUCCACUUUGGACUUUGCUUUUUGUGGCCUUUUAGAGGGAAAUGCAGAAAGGAUUUUCCCAUGCACUAGUGAAGAAAGAAGCAUAUUCUCAACUCAACUACCCAACAAAAGGGAUAAGAGACUGUCCGUUGAGACUUGAGAAGGUUCUUUCUAUUGUAUUUUUCCUACCCUGAAUUUUUUUAUGAUUACCACUUUACCUUUGCCUCUUUGAAGAGCCAAAGCCUGGAGAGGACAAAUGCCAUUUAACUUAACCCAUGCCUUACAUGAUAGGUCACAAAAUUCCUAGAGGCCAUUAUACAAUGAGACUUUAGGCACAAUAGAAAAAUCAAUUAACCAAUAUCACACACACAUUGACAUUCUUCUCUUAAGGGGAUAAAAAAAACUAUGACAUUAACUUUAUCGCAGGCAAUAGUGGAAGAGUACAAUGCAUGCAGGUAACACAUCAAAAUGAUUAAAAAUGCAUGUUAAUGAGUAAUGCUACAUAUUUUUGUACCAUGCGGCCUCUUCUAAUGACAUUGGAGCAAUUAUUGGCUAAAUGUACACACAAUGCAAAUACAAGUUUGUUAACUAAUUAUAACCCCUUUAAAUUUAUUUUACAUACUACUACUAGGUAUGUCUCCAUUUGAGAUGCAAGACAUCUUACUGCCUUCCGGCACAAAUGGUGUUAAAGACCUACUCAUUUCUACUUCUCAUAGUAGUAGCCUAGCUCUCUUUGCUUCUCUAGGAAAGAAAUUAUCAGUGCUCAGGUAUGGUUGCAUUAAGUACUAAUUCAUCUUGUCUGACGUAGUAAAAAUUUGGUCAUUGAUGUAUUUCCUUUUGUUACAGCUUGGACAGCAGCAACCUUGUUGUCAAUUAUGACCUACAGGUUCCUGCAUGGUUUUGUUCAUGGGAUCUCAACAAUUCACAUUACAUAUAUGUUGGACUACAGGUCAGCACUUUGGUUUUGUAUUUAUUUGAUGUGGGAACUUCAAAUGCUAAUCUUCAUAUAACUUCCUCGCAGAAUGGUUCUGUCUUGGUGUUUGAUAUGCACCAAACUGCUUCUGGCUUGAGAUUCUCUACCUUCAUAUAACUUCAAAUUUCAGAAUGUGCCAAAAUUUUGUCUCAAGGGUACAAGUGCCAUGCAACAUUAUGUGGCAACACGUCCAAUGUUCAUUGAUGUGGAAAUAAUGAAUGCAGACACUAAGCUGGUUCUUGGUGACUAGGCUGUCCAAGCUAGUCCUAGUAAUGUUGCUCGUGGGCUUUCCUCCUUGUACAAAGAAAUCAUAGAUACUGUUCGUAAAGAAGCUACAACAAUCACGACCGUAUUCCCUUCACCAAGUGAAGUUAUGUCAAUUUUAGUUCAAGUACAAGACAACAUGGUCUUCACUAAAUAUUGUGGCUUUGAAUAGGUUGUAUAUUUUAUUGUGUUCACAAAAACCAAUGUUCUCAUAAUUCUGCAUACAGAGAGUUUUAGAGUAGUGAAUCACUGCCCUUUUGGACAAACUGUUAGAGAAACCAUCUCUUGUCAAUUUACCUUCCGUGGAGGAAGGUGGGCUCCUAUUAAUGAGUAGGAUUAACCAAUUUCCUUCAUUAUUAUCAUCCAAGUGCCAGUUUUGACAGCAGGCUGAUGCCAAUGUACUUUGUAUUUGAUUUGAGGUUUCAGUAUCUUCGAAUGCUGGCAGUGGCAUAUGAAAAGACCCAAGAGCUAGCAAGAGAUCUACAAGUUGUAGGAUGUGGUGACUUGGAUGUUGAUAGUGUAAUGUAAGUGGUAGUCUAAGUGCUCUAGUCUUGCUUCAUGGCAACUUUCAAGCAGGACAUUUGACUCUAUUAAUUUUAUGUACCUUACCC